AAAAAUUCAAAAAAUACAAAGCUCAAAUGAAACUACAGCAGUACUGUGCAUGGAAGGAACAUCGACCUAAACUGUGUUCAAGGGGCCUGGAAGGAAAAGGCAGCAGCAGCUGGAACAGAGUCACCUCUCUCACAGACUGAGUCACACACACACACACACACACACACACACAGCAGGGCUGGGCUUUGGCUCUGUACAGGCAGCUAGAGGCCAAAGGUCACAUUCAGGUCUCUGGAAUCUGUAGUCCAACAAGUAUCAGAGAUUUAUCACACUGACGAUUGGACAGUCUGAUUGAUUUUUUAUUGAAUAUGUGACUGGAAUGUGAUUAUUUUUAUUAUAUUGUUACGAGUGUGUUUAAGUUGAUGCUCGCGGACCCACAAUCCUUUGUAAAAACCUUACAUGGCCCACUUGGCAUGCCCAC